GACCGUUUACUUAAAAUAAUGGCCAGCAUGUGACGUGAUAGUGACCAUUUUAAUAUUAUUUUGAUUCUCUCCAGUAACUCCACUCUUCCUCUAAGUCAGUUUCUUUAUCUCUUACCCUCACCGCUUCACAAAUCGCCCAGGUCCGAUCGUCUGACUUACCACCAAAUAAAAAAAAAAAGGAUGAAGCAGAGGAGCUGAUUGAAGAUUAUUGGCCUUUCGAAUCCGAAAAACCUCCGGCGAAAAAUCUUUCUUAUGCGUUGAAAGAUGUCAAUACCUCCAUGGUUGGAGUUUCCGGCAUUGGUGGAGUGGGGAAGAAUACCUUUUCGGAAGAAGGUUUUGGGAAAGUCAUUGAAUACCUCUUCAAGGUUGUUGUAGAGGUAUCAGAAACUCCUGAUCUGAAAGGGAUUCUAAGAGCUAGAUCUGAAGAGAUAGAUCUUAUAAGAUUGAUUAAGGGUAUCAAAAUACUCUUAAUUUUAGAUGAUGUGUGGAAUGAUCUAGAUCUGAAGACUCUUAGAAUUUCUUUUAUAGCUUGAAGACUUUUCAGGAAAACUCCAGGGAGAAUGAAUUCAAGGUUGCAACAACACAAUGAAAUAUGUUGGAGGAGCCAAACAAUUGAUUAAAAUCUCUUAUGGAACAACAUUCGAGGGAUUUAUUGAGCUUUUGACGGAGUCUUGCAGUAUUGAUCCAAUGAAAAACUACAUUCAAGUAUCAAUGAAGCCAAGGUUGCGGGUGCAUAUUAGAAAGCCGCAAAAUCAUACACAGAAUCUGAAUUUGGUUCGAUGAUGCAAUCCCUUGACUCAAUGAACCCCCAAGCUGGAGCUUAUCUACGAGAUGUCGGAUUUGAGCGUUAGAGUAGAGCAUACUUUCCAGGACAUCGGUACAACAUCAUGACUACAAAUAUUGCUGAGUCAUUUAAUGCCCUUGUCAGACAUGCACGGGGCCUACCUAUAACUAUGCUCUUGGAGUUUAUUCGUGGUACCAUGCAACGAUGGUUUUACAAGAGGAGAACCCAUGCAAAUGAAUGUCAUAACUUUCUCACCCCUUGGGCAGAAGAUAAGAUCAGUAAUCAUCUAUCAAAGUCUGCAAGUCUGGAUGUUUGACCAAUUACACCUACUCGGUAUCAGGGUGUUGGAUUUGGUGGAUUCAUGGGUAUUGUGGACUUUGGUGACAUGUCUUGCAUGUGUAGAAAAUUUCAACUUUCACGUAUUCUUUGUAAGCAUGCGAUUGCCAUUGCACGACAUAUGAGACUCACGAAUGUGCACGCAUGAGUUCAUCCAUUCUUCUGCACCGACAUUUACCGUACAAUAAAUCAGGAAUCGAUCAAUCCUCUUGGAAAUCAAUGUGAUUGGUUACACUCACCAGAAGACAGAGUUAUAUUGCCCCCCGUCCUCGAUAGUCGUCGUCCAUCCAACAGAAAUCGACGUCCAUCGCAAGAAGAAAUUGUUACACCGAGGAUUUGCAGUCGUUGCCAUGAACCGGGGCAUACACGAACCCAAUGUAAAUCCCUAGCACCGGUCCCGAGCUUCGCCCCGCAGCGUUCAUCUAUAAAAGGCAAAGGAACGAGAUUUUGACAUGCUUAUACUUAAUUUUGUUUGUUAUAUGAUUUUUCAUUGUUGUACUUUAGUUUUAUGUAACCGAUGUAUUUUUAUUACUGUUUC